rnacentral:lncRNA from 1 species
ACGGACAGAAAAGGCCCAGUGGCCCGCGGCGGGACAGAGCUUCCAAUCACUCCUGCAAGGUAGGCGGGCCUGCGACCCACCUGCAGAAGAGGAGCAGCGACCUGCUGAGAGGCAGAGCCGCCCCCUCCCCCUGCACCUGCAAGGUAGAAGGAACUGUGACCACGCACAGAGCAGGCCCAGCGGCCUGCUGAGGGGCAGAGCCACCCCCCACCCCCCGCCCCUGCCAGGUGACCACCGACAGAAAAGGCCCAGUGGCCCGCGGCAGGACAGAGCUUCCAAUCACUCCUGCAAGGUAGGCGGGCCUGCGACCCACCUGCAGAAGAGGAGCAGCGACCUGCUGAGAGGCAGAGCCGCCCCCUCCCCCUGCACCUGCAAGGUAGAAGGAACUGUGACCACGCACAGAGCAGGCCCAGCGGC